rnacentral:sRNA from 1 species
AGGCAAAGCGCAGCAGCAGCAGCAGCAGCAGUAGCCAUCUCUUCUUCCUCUCGCCUCCGUUUCCGCCGUCGCCUGCUCGGUUCCAGCUGAGACCGUGCGCGCGCGCGAGGGAGCAACCUCGAGAGGAAGGGGAUGGAGAUGAAGAAGAUCGCCUGCGCCGUCCUCGUCGUCGCCGCCUCGGCCGCCACCGUGGCGUUCGCCGCCGAGGCCCCGGCUCCUGCGCCCACCAGCGCCGCUCCCGCGGCCGUCGCGCCGGCCAUCGGCGCGGCGCUCGGCGCCACCGUGGUCUCGUUCUUCGCCUACUACCUGCAGUGAGCCCAGCCGGAGGAGGAAGAGAGGAAGAGGAGGAGAUGGAUGCAUGGCCAUGGCUACUAAACCGAUCCAAACACGCGCGAUAAUGUGGGUGCUUUGAUUUGUGCCAACUUUGAUGCCUCGUCUUCUUUCUUCUCUUUUUAUAAUGGGUUGUAUUUUUGAUGCACCGGUUUGAUUUCGGUGCUUUGAUUUCUCAUAUUUCGUCCACCCUAUUUGAAGGGAAUGGAUAUUGUACUAUUAUUCACCAUUUGUUUGGAUUAAAUUAAGAUAUUGGAAUUACUGGCU